GAUUAACGCUGGCGGCGUGCAUAACACAUGCAAGUCGAACGAUGAAACUCAUUAGAUUUCUUCGGAAUGAAAAUGAAUGGAUUAGUGGCGAACGGGUGAGUAACGCGUGAGUAACCUGCCUUACACAAGGGGAUAGCCUCUGGAAACGGAGAAUAAUACCCUAUGAAACCAGACAAUCGCAUGAUAAUCUGGUCAAAAUGUUUAGUGGUGUAAGAUGGACUUGCGUCUGAUUAGCUAGUUGGUAAGAUAAAAGCUCACCAAGGCAACGAUCAGUAGCCGGCUUGAGAGAGUGUACGGCCACAUUGGGACUGAGACACGGCCCAGACUCCUACGGGAGGCAGCAGUGGGGAAUUUUGCACAAUGGGGGAAACCCUGAUGCAGCGACGCCGCGUGAUUUAGAAGGCCUUCGGGUUGUAAAAAUCUUUUGUAUAGGAAGAAAAUGACAGUACUAUACGAAUAAGGUCCGGCUAAUUACGUG
rnacentral:rRNA from 1 species